UACAGAGGUCCCGAGCGUUGUUCGGAUUCACUGGGCGUAAAGGGUGCGUAGGUGGUUGGGUAAGUUUGAUGUGAAAGCUCAGGGCUUAACCCUGAAAUGGCAUUGAAUACUACUUAACUGGAGGUUUGGAGGGGGGACUGGAAUUCUUGGUGUAGCAGUGAAAUGCGUAGAUAUCAAGAGGAACACCAGUGGCGAAGGCGAGUCCCUGGACAAACACCUGACACUGAGGCACGAAAGCUAGGGGAGCAAACAGGA
rnacentral:rRNA from 1 species